rnacentral:rRNA from 1 species
GACAAACGCUGGCGGCGUGCCUAACACAUGCAAGUCGAACGAGAAAGUCGGCUUCGGCCGAUGAGUACAGUGGCGCACGGGUGAGUAACACGUGGGUAACCUACCUCUCGGAGGGGGAUAACACACCGAAAGGUGUGCUAAUACCGCAUAACACGACAUUGUAGAUUAUGAUGUCGUCAAAGGUGGCGUAAGCUGCCGCUGAGAGAUGGGCCCGCGGACCAUUAGCUUGUUGGGAGGGUAAUGGCCUACCAAGGCGACGAUGGUUAGCUGGUCUGGUAGGAGGGCCAGCCACACUGGAACUGGAACACGGACCAGAGUCCUACGGGAGGCAGCAGUGAGGAAUUUUGCGCAAUGGGGGGAACCCUGACGCAGCAACGCCGCGUGAGUGAAGAAGGCCUUCGGGUUGUAAAGCUCUGUCAGAGCUGAAGAAACUACCUCGGGUAAAUAGCCCGUGGUACUGACGGUAAGCUCAGAGGAAGCACCGGCUAACUCCGUGCCAGCCGCCGCGGUAAUAC